rnacentral:rRNA from 1 species
UAUUGCCUACGGGGGGCAGCAGUGAGGAAUAUUGGACAAUGGGCGGGAGCCUGAACCAGCCACGCCGCGUGAGAGAAGAAGGUACAGCGUAUCGUAAACCUCUUUUGUCAGGGAACAAAGGCGGGGACUAGUCCCCGGAUGAGGGUACCUGAAGAAAAAGCAUCGGCUAACUCCGGGCCAGCAGCCGCGGUAAUCCGGAGGAUGCGAGCGUUAUCCGGAUUUAUUGGGUUGAAAGGGUGCGCAGGCGGCGUGAUAAGUCAGCGGUAAAAGCCCGGGGCUCAACCCCG